rnacentral:rRNA from 1 species
AGCAGCCGCGGUAAUUCCAGCUCCAAUAGCGUAUAUUAAAGUUGUUGCAGUUAAAAAGCUCGUAGUUGAAUUUCGGGGUUCUACCGUCGGUCGGGCUACCAAGUCUGUACUGGUGUGUAGAAUUUCUACCUUCUGGGGAACCAUCGUGUUAUUAAUUUAGCGUGGUGGGAAACCAGGACCUUUACCUUGAAAAAUUAGAGUGUUCAAAGCAGGCUUAUGUCUGAAUACAUUAGCAUGGAAUAAUAGAAUAGGACGGUGGUCCUGUUUUGUUGGUUUCUGAAUCACCGUAAUGAUUAAUAGGGAUAGUUGGGGGCAUUAGUAUUCAAUUGUCAGAGGUGAAAUUCUUAGAUUUAUUGAAGACUAACUUCUGCGAAAGCAUUUGCCAAGGAUGUUUUCAUUAAUCAAGAACGAAAGUUAGGGGAUCGAAGACGAUCAGAUAUCGUCGUAGUC